UACGGAGGGUGCGAGCGUUGUCCGGAAUUACUGGGCGUAAAGGGUGCGCAGGCGGCCGAGUAAGUCGAGUGUGAAAGCCCCGAGCUUAACUUGGGAACUGCGCUCGAAACUACUUGGCUAGAGUGUGGCAGAGGGAGGUGGAAUUCCACGUGUAGCGGUGAAAUGCGUAGAGAUGUGGAGGAACACCGAUGGCGAAGGCAGCCUCCUGGGCCAACACUGACGCUCAUGCACGAAAGCGUGGGGAGCAAACAGG
rnacentral:rRNA from 1 species